rnacentral:rRNA from 1 species
GGCGACCGGCGCACGGGUGAGUAACACGUAUCCAACCUGCCGAUAACUCGGGGAUAGCCUUUCGAAAGAAAGAUUAAUACCCGAUGGUAUAAUCAGACCGCAUGGUCUUGUUAUUAAAGAAUUUCGGUUAUCGAUGGGGAUGCGUUCCAUUAGGCAGUUGGUGAGGUAACGGCUCACCAAACCUUCGAUGGAUAGGGGUUCUGAGAGGAAGGUCCCCCACAUUGGAACUGAGACACGGUCCAAACUCCUACGGGAGGCAGCAGUGAGGAAUAUUGGUCAAUGGGCGCAGGCCUGAACCAGCCAAGUAGCGUGAAGGAUGACUGCCCUAUGGGUUGUAAACUUCUUUUAUAUGGGAAUAAAGUUUUCCACGUGUGGAAUUUUGUAUGUACCAUAUGAAUAAGGAUCGGCUAACUCCGUGCCAGCAGCCGCGGUAAUACGGAGGAUCCGAGCGUUAUCCGGAUUUAUUGGGUUUAAAGGGAGCGUAGGUGGACAGUUAAGUCAGUUGUGAAAGUUUGCGGCUCAACCGUAAAAUUGCAGUUGAUACUGGCUGUCUUGAGUACAGUAGAGGUGGGCGGAAUUCGUGGUGUAGCGGUGAAAUGCUUAGAUAUCACGAAGAACUCCGAUUGCGAAGGCAGCUCACUGGACUGCAACUGACACUGAUGCUCGAAAGUGUGGGUAUCAAACAGGAUUAGAUACCCUGGUAGUCCACACAGUAAACGAUGAAUACUCGCUGUUUGCGAUAUACAGUAAGCGGCCAAGCGAAAGCAUUAAGUAUUCCACCUGGGGAGUACGCCGGCAACGGUGAAACUCAAAGGAAUUGACGGGGGCCCGCACAAGCGGAGGAACAUGUGGUUUAAUUCGAUGAUACGCGAGGAACCUUACCCGGGCUUAAAUUGCAUUUGAAUAUAUUGGAAACAGUAUAGCCGUAAGGCAGAUGUGAAGGUGCUGCAUGGUUGUCGUCAGCUCGUGCCGUGAGGUGUCGGCUUAAGUGCCAUAACGAGCGCAACCCUUAUCUUUAGUUACUAACAGGUCAUGCUGAGGACUCUAGAGAGACUGCCGUCGUAAGAUGUGAGGAAGGUGGGGAUGACGUCAAAUCAGCACGGCCCUUACGUCCGGGGCUACACACGUGUUACAAUGGGGGGUACAGAAGGCAGCUACCUGGUGACAGGAUGCUAAUCCCAAAAGCCUCCCUCAGUUCGGAUCGAAGUCUGCAACCCGACUUCGUGAAGCUGGAUUCGCUAGUAAUCGCGCAUCAGCCAUGGCGCGGUGAAUACGUUCCCGGGCCUUGUACACACCGCCCGUCAAGCCAUGAAAGCCGGGGGUACCUGAAGUACGUAACCGCAAGGAGCGUCCUAGGGUAAAACUGGUAAUUGGGGCUAA